rnacentral:rRNA from 1 species
UACGAAGGGGGCUAGCGUUGCUCGGAAUUACUGGGCGUAAAGGGCGCGUAGGCGGAUAUUUAAGUUGGGGGUGAAAUCCCGGGGCUCAACCUCGGAAUUGCCUUCAAAACUGGAUAUCUUGAGUUCGGGAGAGGUGAGUGGAACUCCGAGUGUAGAGGUGAAGUUCGUAGAUAUUCGGAAGAACACCAGUGGCGAAGGCGACUCACUGGCCCGAUACUGACGCUGAGGCGCGAAAGCGUGGGGAGCAAACAGG